AAUUAGAAUUCCAGGAAAAUAAACCGCCAAACGUUACACUGACCUACCAGCAUAGGGUCUGUUUUCUCUGGACGACCAGCUGAUGUUGCUGAAUUUGGCGCCCUCUACAAGCGAUUGUAAAAAGCACAUAUAAAGGACUAUCGUAAAAUACUUUUUUAAAAGCGUGUUACACUGGAUACACUGCGAAUGUCUCUGACUGGUGAGCAAACUGGUUGGUUUUCCCAUCCCACUGAGCUGCAGUUUAAAUAUUUUCCUCAGCUUAGCUGUUGUAUUAGUGCUAACAUUAACCAGGGUUAGCUCUCGCGCAGGGUCACUCUUUUUAAAUUAAAAAAUUAACGGAAAUCAACCGUCAUUAGCUCGUUUUUCUUCGGCUCAGUAAAUAUUUAAAGUAAAUAUUUAACAACUUUCUUAUUUAUUUAUUCUAAAAAGAUACACUCCAGCGUGUUUUUACUUCUGAAUAAUAGGGUUCUGUACAAGUAACCUGGCAGGGACCUCUUCAGCACUCUGACUUGCUGUGUAAGGAUGAGAGUGGCUGACCCAAGGGUGGAGAGGCCCUGUUUGGACGGCGUGACACAGUUCAGUCUCAGAGGAACACACAGCACAACCCAGAGCUUGACCAGGGUCCUCCCAUUCAUGUUUGCAGAGAGCUGUUGAAUGGUCACAGGGUGAAGAAAAGUCAACAUUGCUUCAUUCAGCCAGUCAGAUUGCCCUUUCUUACCCCUGAGACUUUGAUGUGGGGAAGAGAUUGCAACAGGAUACACUGUGGGAAGAAUACAAGCUAGUGGAGGGAGUGUGAUGCUCUGGACAGUGUUCUGCUGGGAAACUUUGGGUCUGCAGUCCAGACCUUUCAUGAAAAGAUGCAUCAUGAAAUGAAAAUUCUGACAAGACAAAAAUAAAACAAUAUUUUUAUUUUAUAAAAAUGUCUCA
rnacentral:lncRNA from 1 species